rnacentral:rRNA from 1 species
UACGGUAGGGGGCAAGCGUUGUCCGGAUUUAUUGGGCGUAAAGAGCGUGUAGGCGGCCUGGUAGGUCAGCUGUGAAAACUCGAGGCUCAACCUCGAGACGCCGGUUGAAACCAUCAGGCUAGAGUCCGGAAGAGGAGAGUGGAAUUCCCGGUGAUAGCGGUGAAAUGCGCAGAUAUCGGGAAGAACACCCGUGGCUAAGGCGGCUCUCUAGUACGGUACUGACGCUGAGACGCGAAAGCGUGGGGAGCGAACGAGGA